CAUUUUGUAACUAGUAAAGUAUAGGUCUUUUAAACCUACAAUAGUAAGUUUUUAUCUUACUCAAAAUGA
rnacentral:tRNA from 1 species